rnacentral:rRNA from 1 species
UACGAAGGGGGCUAGCGUUGCUCGGAAUCACUGGGCGUAAAGGGUGCGUAGGCGGAUCGAUCGGUCAGGGGUGAAAUCCCAGAGCUCAACUCUGGAACUGCCUUUGAUACUGUCGAUCUGGAGUAUGGAAGAGGUGAGUGGAAUUCCGAGUGUAGAGGUGAAAUUCGUAGAUAUUCGGAGGAACACCCGUGGCGAAGGCGGCUCUCUGGGACGGUACUGACGCUGAGACGCGAAAGCGUGGGGAGCGAACAGG